rnacentral:rRNA from 1 species
GGACUACCCGGGUAUCUAAUCCCGUUCGCUCCCCUAGCUUUCGCACCUGAGCGUCAGGCACCAGCCAGGACACUGCCUUCGCCUUUGGUAUUCCUCCGGAUAUCUACGCAUUUCACCACUCCACCCGGAAUUCUGUGUCCCUCUCUGGCCCUCUGAGUCGCACCGUCUUUGGGGCCCUGUGGGGGUGAAGCCCCCACCUGUCACCUCAAACGCGUGCGACCGCCUGCGUGCGCUUUACGCCCAAUUACUCCGGACAACGCUUGCCUCCUACGUAUUACCGCGGCUGCUGGCAC